GUACACUCCUGCGGGAGGCAGCAGUGGGGAAUUUUGGACAAUGGGCGAAAGCCUGAUCCAGCAAUGCCGCGUGAGUGAAGAAGGCCUUCGGGUUGUAAAGCUCUUUUGUCAGGGAAGAAACGGUGAAAGCUAAUAUCUUUUGCUAAUGACGGUACCUGAAGAAUAAGCACCGGCUAACUACGUGCCAGCAGCCGCGGUAAUACGUAGGGUGCAAGCGUUAAUCGGAAUUACUGGGCGUAAAGCGUGCGCAGGCGGUUUUGUAAGUCUGAUGUGAAAUCCCCGGGCUCAACCUGGGAAUUGCAUUGGAGACUGCAAGGCUAGAAUCUGGCAGAGGGGGGUAGAAUUCCACGUGUAGCAGUGAAAUGCGUAGAUAUGUGGAGGAACACCGAUGGCGAAGGCAGCCCCCUGGGUCAAGAUUGACGCUCAUGCACGAAAGCGUGGGGAGCAAACAGGAUUAGAUACCCUGGUAGUCCC
rnacentral:rRNA from 1 species